AGUGAACGCUGGCGGCGUGCCUAAUACAUGCAAGUCGAACGAAGUGGCGAACGGGUGAGUAAUAUAUAGUUAAUCUGCCCUACACAGAGGAAAAACAGUUGGAAACGACUGCUAAUACCUCAUAGUGUAGGAUGAGACUAUAUCGUAUCAGCUAGUUGGUAAGGUAAUGGCUUACCAAGGCUAUGACGCGUAACUGGUCUGAGAGGAUGAUCAGUCACAUUGGAACGGAGCCACGGGCCGAGCUCCUACGGGAGGGGGCAGUAAGGAAGAUGGCGCAAUGGGGGAGACACGAACGAGGCAACGGCGCGUGAAAGAUGACUGUUUUCGGAGCAUAAGCUCAUUUUAUAAGGAAAGCGGUACCUGAUGAAUAAGCAACGGCUAACUCCGUGCCAGCAGCCGCGGUAAUUC
rnacentral:rRNA from 1 species